CGUUUUAUAGGAUCAUGCUCAAAGAGGUAUCGUCACUCGCACGCACCGUCUUUGCUACAUUCACCCACCUUUUAAUGAAACUUUCACGAGACAAAAACUGUCUCUCUAUUCUCACUUUCCUUUUCGGGCAGGUCGGUCCGGUGUGUCUCGAACCGUGCCUGUAAAGCUUAUCCCGAACGGGUAAUGCUUCUCGAUAGCACUGCCAGGCGAGAGAUCUCUGGUCAUUGUCCAUAGGUCCCGGCCCGAAAGUUGUCCUGAACAGGCGGGUCAGGUGUUCCUCGUCGACGCCCAGAUUCUGCCCGAGAUCGUCGUCGCACCUCCCCUCCACUAAUCCUCUAUAGAUAGAUAGAUAGAUAGAUAGAUAGAUAGAUAGAUAGAUAGAUAGAUAGAUAGAUAUACACGCGUAUGUGUAGCAUACAUGCAAAAAUAUACAUUAUAUACAUUAUAUUCAAAUAUACAUGGAAACUGCAUGUCCUACAGUUAUAUCAGGUUGUGAAAACAGCUGCAAAAUCAGUGAAAUAUUCCUAAGAGCUUAUCUCAUAGUUAUAGAGAAAAUGAGUGUUAUAUACAUCAUCUAUACUAAGUGGUGAAUAAAGGAGGAAUGAUAGCCGAACAUUCAAGUACACUUGUGAGCAGUCUACGGAAUUGCAUUUGUUUGAAGAUAACUACGUUGGUAAUGAGCAUAUACGUAAUUGAAAGCAAAGCAUGAUCAAUCUUUCUUUUAUACCUUCAGGGCAAAAACUAAAGAUGAACUGGCUUAAGUGUAGGCUAUUUCAUUAUUGAAAGGCUGAGAUUCUGUGACUGGAGGAAUGCAGUUAUGCUUAGAUCGGCGAGUUGACCCGAAUGGUUGCGAGAGAAAUGGUUCUGCAAAAUUCACUCAAGGAUCAGGCGGUGGAAUUAUACUGGAUAAAAGUCGACACUGCACUGCUUGGCUUGGAUACCCUACCAUACCUACUACACUCACCUGAUCUUGGACUUUCGGGUUACCAUUUCUUUUAAUCCCUAGAAAAUUUUCUUAAUGGAAAGAAUUUCAGUUAUCUGGAAGAUUGUAUAAACCAUUUCGACCAGUUCAUGACCUAGUUUUAGGCAAUUU